AGCCAACUGCACCUCCAAGUGGUUUGAACUUUUGAGCUUCUUGUAGUCCUGAUGAACAGUUUUAGUUUCCUCAGGUUUAUGACACUUGAAACUUCAACGGUUGAAGGUUUAUGCACUUUGGGACCAGUCAACACUGCAGAGUUCAAAGUACGAAAAGACAAGAGAUCAAAAUGGCUUCCAGAGGAAAGACAGAGACAAGCAAAUUAAAGCAGAAUUUAGAAGAACAGUUGGAUAGAGUAAUGCAGCAAUUACAAGAUUUGGAGGAAUGCAGAGAGGAACUUGAUACAGAUGACUAUGAAGAAACCACAAAAGGAAACUCUGGAGCAACUAAGUGAAUUUAAUGAUUCACUGAAGAAAAUUAUGCCCGGAAAUAUGACUUUGGUAGAUGAGCUAAGUUGAAUGCAACUGGCUAACCAGGCAGCUAUCAGCCAGGCCUUUCAAACCCUGGAGGUCAUCAGAUUACUUGCAAAGAAACAACCCUGUCAGCUUCGGACAAGGUUAGUAGAGAUGGAUAGAGAUCUCAGGGUGGAAAAGCUGGAAAGAGGCCUCUACACUCAACAGAAAGUGGAGAUACUAACAGCUCUCAGGACACUUGGAGAGAAGCUGACUGCAGAUGACAAGACCUUCUUGUCAGCAGAUGCAGGUGCUCUAUCAGGCAGUUUGAGAAAGUCUCUACAGACCUUGGCUCUGGAGACAAGGUUCUUGCAUUGGCAAGCUCUGAGACUGAAAAAACAAAAAAGUGA